GGUUAAGCGACUAAGCGUACACGGUGGAUGCCCUGGCAGUCAGAGGCGAUGAAGGACGUGCUAAUCUGCGAAAAGCGUCGGUAAGGUGAUAUGAACCGUUAUAACCGGCGAUGUCCGAAUGGGGAAACCCAGUGCAAUUCGUUGCACUAUCGUUAACUGAAUACAUAGGUUAACGAGGCGAACCGGGGGAACUGAAACAUCUAAGUACCCCGAGGAAAAGAAAUCAACCGAGAUUCCCCCAGUAGCGGCGAGCGAACGGGGAGCAGCCCAGAGUCUGAAUCAGCUUGUGUGUUAGUGGAACGGUCUGGAAAGUCCGACGGUACAGGGUGAUAGUCCCGUACACCAAAAUGCACAGGCUGUGAACUCGAAGAGUAGGGCGGGACACGUGGUAUCCUGUCUGAAUAUGGGGGGACCAUCCUCCAAGGCUAAAUACUCCUGACUGACCGAUAGUGAACCAGUACCGUGAGGGAAAGGCGAAAAGAACCCCGGCGAGGGGAGUGAAAAAGAACCUGAAACCGUGUACGUACAAGCAGUGGGAGCACCUUCGGGUGUGACUGCGUACCUUUUGUAUAAUGGGUCAGCGACUUAUAUUCUGUAGCAAGGUUAACCGUAUAGGGGAGCCGCAGGGAAACCGAGUCUUAACUGGGCGUUAAGUUGCAGGGUAUAGACCCGAAACCCGGUGAUCUAGCCAUGGGCAGGUUGAAGGUUGGGUAACACUAACUGGAGGACCGAACCGACUAAUGUUGAAAAAUUAGCGGAUGACUUGUGGCUGGGGGUGAAAGGCCAAUCAAACCGGGAGAUAGCUGGUUCUCCCCGAAAGCUAUUUAGGUAGCGCCUCGUGAAUUCAUCUUCGGGGGUAGAGCACUGUUUCGGCUAGGGGGUCAUCCCGACUUACCAACCCGAUGCAAACUACGAAUACCGAAGAAUGUUAUCACGGGAGACACACGGCGGGUGCUAACGUCCGUCGUGAAGAGGGAAACAACCCAGACCGCCAGCUAAGGUCCCAAAGUCAUGGUUAAGUGGGAAACGAUGUGGGAAGGCACAGACAGCCAGGAUGUUGGCUUAGAAGCAGCCAUCAUUUAAAGAAAGCGUAAUAGCUCACUGGUCGAGUCGGCCUGCGCGGAAGAUGUAACGGGGCUAAACCAUGCACCGAAGCUGCGGCAGCGACACUAUGUGUUGUUGGGUAGGGGAGCGUUCUGUAAGCCUGCGAAGGUGUGCUGUGAGGCAUGCUGGAGGUAUCAGAAGUGCGAAUGCUGACAUAAGUAACGAUAAAGCGGGUGAAAAGCCCGCUCGCCGGAAGACCAAGGGUUCCUGUCCAACGUUAAUCGGGGCAGGGUGAGUCGACCCCUAAGGCGAGGCCGAAAGGCGUAGUCGAUGGGAAACAGGUUAAUAUUCCUGUACUUGGUGUUACUGCGAAGGGGGGACGGAGAAGGCUAUGUUAGCCGGGCGACGGUUGUCCCGGUUUAAGCAUGUAGGCUGGUUGUCCAGGCAAAUCCGGAUAAUCAAGGCUGAGGUGUGAUGACGAGGCACUACGGUGCUGAAGUAACAAAUGCCCUGCUUCCAGGAAAAGCCUCUAAGCAUCAGGUAACAUCAAAUCGUACCCCAAACCGACACAGGUGGUCAGGUAGAGAAUACCAAGGCGCUUGAGAGAACUCGGGUGAAGGAACUAGGCAAAAUGGUGCCGUAACUUCGGGAGAAGGCACGCUGGUGUGUAGGUGAAGUCCCUGCGGAUGGAGCUGAGACCAGUCGAAGAUACCAGCUGGCUGCAACUGUUUAUUAAAAACACAGCACUGUGCAAACACGAAAGUGGACGUAUACGGUGUGACGCCUGCCCGGUGCCGGAAGGUUAAUUGAUGGGGUUAUCCGUAAGGAGAAGCUCUUGAUCGAAGCCCCGGUAAACGGCGGCCGUAACUAUAACGGUCCUAAGGUAGCGAAAUUCCUUGUCGGGUAAGUUCCGACCUGCACGAAUGGCGUAAUGAUGGCCAGGCUGUCUCCACCCGAGACUCAGUGAAAUUGAACUCGCUGUGAAGAUGCAGUGUACCCGCGGCAAGACGGAAAGACCCCGUGAACCUUUACUAUAGCUUGACACUGAACAUUGAGCCUUGAUGUGUAGGAUAGGUGGGAGGCUUUGAAGCGUGGACGCCAGUCUGCGUGGAGCCAACCUUGAAAUACCACCCUUUAAUGUUUGAUGUUCUAACGUUGGCCCCUUACCGGGGUUGCGGACAGUGUCUGGUGGGUAGUUUGACUGGGGCGGUCUCCUCCCAAAGCGUAACGGAGGAGCACGAAGGUUAGCUAAUCCUGGUCGGACAUCAGGAGGUUAGUGCAAUGGCAUAAGCUAGCUUGACUGCGAGCGUGACGGCGCGAGCAGGUGCGAAAGCAGGUCAUAGUGAUCCGGUGGUUCUGAAUGGAAGGGCCAUCGCUCAACGGAUAAAAGGUACUCCGGGGAUAACAGGCUGAUACCGCCCAAGAGUUCAUAUCGACGGCGGUGUUUGGCACCUCGAUGUCGGCUCAUCACAUCCUGGGGCUGAAGUAGGUCCCAAGGGUAUGGCUGUUCGCCAUUUAAAGUGGUACGCGAGCUGGGUUUAGAACGUCGUGAGACAGUUCGGUCCCUAUCUGCCGUGGGCGCUGGAGAAUUGAGGGGGGCUGCUCCUAGUACGAGAGGACCGGAGUGGACGCAUCACUGGUGUUCGGGUUGUCAUGCCAAUGGCACUGCCCGGUAGCUAAAUGCGGAAGAGAUAAGUGCUGAAAGCAUCUAAGCACGAAACUUGCCCCGAGAUGAGUUCUCCCUGAGACUUUAAGUCUCCUGAAGGAACGUUGAAGACGACGACGUUGAUAGGCCGGGUGUGUAAGCGCAGCGAUGCGUUGAGCUAACCGGUACUAAUGAACCGUGAGGCUUAACCUUACAACGCCGAAGAUGUUUUG
rnacentral:rRNA from 1 species